rnacentral:tRNA from 3 species
GCCGGGUUAGCCAAGUGGUUACGGCGAUCGCCUCGAGAGCGAUUGCGCUUUCAGCGUGCAAGGGUUCGAAUCCCUUACCCGGCGCCA